rnacentral:rRNA from 1 species
CCUACGGGAGGCAGCAGUGAGGAAUAUUGGUCAAUGGGCGGGAGCCUGAACCAGCCAAGUCGCGUGAGGAAAGACGGUCCUAUGGAUUGUAAACCUCUUUAGGCGGGGAGCAAUGCCGGGCACGCGUGCCCGGAGGGAGAGUACCCGCAGAAUAAGCAUCGGCUAACUCCGUGCCAGCAGCCGCGGUAAUACGGAGGAUGCGAGCGUUAUCCGGAUGUAUUGGGUUAAAAGGGUGCGUAGGCGGAUUUUUAAGUCAGCGGUAAAAUGUCCGGGCUCAACCCGGGCCGGCCGUUGAAACUGGGGAUCUUGAGUGGGCGAGAAGUAUGCGGAAUGCGUGGUGUAGCGGUGAAAUGCAUAGAUAUCACGCAGAACUCCGAUUGCGAAGGCAGCAUACCGGCGCCCGACUGACGCUGAGGCACGAAAGCGUGGGGAUCGAACAGGAUUAGAUACCCUAGUAGUC